AUUGAACGCUGGCGGCAGGCCUAACACAUGCAAGUCGAACGAGUGGCGGACGGGUGAGUAAUGUCUGGGAAACUGCCUGAUGGAGGGGGAUAACUACUGGAAACGGUAGCUAAUACCGCAUACCAUCGGAUGUGCCCAGAUGGGAUUAGCUAGUAGGUGGGGAAACGGCUCACAUAGGCGACGAUCCCUCGCUGGUCUGAGAGGAUGACCAGCCAAACUGGAACUGAGACACGGUCCAGACUCCUACGGGAGGCAGCAGUGGGGAAUAUUGCACAAUGGGCGAAAGCCUGACGGAGCAACGCCGCGUGUGUGAUGAAGGUCUUCGGAUCGUAAAACUCUGUUAGUAGGGAAGCGGUACCUGAUCAUAAAGCCCCGGCUAACUCCGUGCCAGCAGCCGCGGUAAUAC
rnacentral:rRNA from 1 species